rnacentral:rRNA from 1 species
GACGAACGCUGGCGGCGUGCUUAACACAUGCAAGUCGAACGGAAAGGCCCUGCUUUUGUGUGGUGCUCGAGUGGCGAACGGGUGAGUAACACGUGCGUAACCUGCCCUUCACUUUGGGAUAACCUCCGGAAACUGGGGCUUAUACCGGCUAGGAGCUCCUGCUUCAUGGUGGGGGUUGGAAAGUUUCGGCGGUUGGGGCUGGACGCGGGGCAAAUCAGCUUGUUGGUGGGGUAGUGUAUUACCAAGGCUUUGACGAGUAGCCGGACUGAGAGGGUGACAGGCCACAGUGGGCUUGGGGAGGGACCCGUGCGGAUACGGGAGGCAGGGGUGGAAGGUUGACGAAGAGAGGCGGAGGGAGGGAGGAGGACCGCCGGGUGGGGAAGGACUGCCAUCGGGGAGGAAACGGCUUUUGGCGGAGAGGUAGCGGGAGUGACGGUACCGGAAAAAGAAGCAACGGCUAACUACGUG